UUCAUUUUUAUGUGUUUUUACGUUCAAUACUUUGUGUUUGUAUGAAUGGUGUGGGUGAGGGCAAGCCCUACACGCCACGAUGCACAGGUGUUAAGAUCGAAAGGUGUGGACAGCGCGAACGCCGUCCUCAAUUUCAUUAAUGAUCCUUCUGCAGGUUCACCUACAGAAA
rnacentral:misc_RNA from 1 species